AGAAAACUUCUUAAAUAAGGUGUCCUUAUAUUCGACAUUAUCCUUAAAUCCAUACAUGGAUUCUAUAUUUGUCACAAUCCCUGAACCCGUAAGAAUUUCCUUUUGUCAGUCACUACCCCUAAACCCGUUUGGGGAUUCCUUAGGUCUUUCUUUAUCCUUACCCCGCAUUACAUUGUAUCUCAAUAAAAAAAACUUUUACCAUUCCUAAAAAAAACGAAGGACAAAUAUUUUUACAUACUCGUGU
rnacentral:lncRNA from 1 species